rnacentral:snRNA from 1 species
UAACACCAACGGUAGAUAGG